rnacentral:rRNA from 1 species
GACGAACGCUGGCGGCGUGCCUAAUACAUGCAAGUCGAACGCAGUGGGGACGGGUGAGUAACACGUGGGUAACCUCCCAUCAGAGGGGAUAAAACUUGGCAACAGGUGCUAAACCGCUACUGCUGUAUGUACCCGCGGUGCAUUAGCUAGUUGGUGAGGUAACGGCUCACCAUGGCCACGAUGCAUAGCCGACCUGAGAGGGUGAUCGGCCACACUGGGACUGAGAGACGGCCCAGACUCCUACGUGAGGCAGCAGUAGGGAAUCUUCGGCAAUGGACGAAAGUCUGACCGAGCAACGCCGCGUGAGUGAAGAAGGUUUUCGGAUCGUAAAACACUGUUGGUAGAGAAGCGUUAUCUAACCAGAAAGCCACGGCUAACUACGUGCCAGCAGCCGCGGUAAUAC